ACGAAUAAGGAUCGGCUAACUCCGUGCCAGCAGCCGCGGUAAUACGGAGGAUCCAAGCGUUAUCCGGAAUCAUUGGGUUUAAAGGGUCCGUAGGCGGUCUGAUAAGUCAGAGGUGAAAGCCUACCGCUCAACGGUAGAAUUGCCUUUGAUACUGUCAGGCUUGAGUUAUUGUGAAGUAGUUAGAAUGUGUAGUGUAGCGGUGAAAUGCAUAGAUAUCACACAGAAUACCGAUUGCGAAGGCAGAUUACUAACAAUAAACUGACGCUGAGGGACGAAAGCGUGGGUAGCGAACAGGAUUAGAUACCCUGGUAGUCCACGCCGUAAACGAUGGUUACUAGCUGUUCGACUAACAUUGGUUAGUUGAGUGGCUAAGCGAAAGUGAUAAGUAUCCCACCUGGGGAGUACGCUCGCAAGAGUGAAACUCAAAGGAAUUGACGGGG
rnacentral:rRNA from 1 species